rnacentral:rRNA from 1 species
CCCUUAGAUGUUCUGGGCCGCACGCGCGCUACACUGACGAUGGCAACGAGUUAUUCCUUCGCCGAAAGGUGUGGGUAAUCUUUUGAAACAUCGUCGUGCUGGGGAUAGAUCAUUGCAAUUUUUGAUCUUGAACGAGGAAUUCCUAGUAAGCGCGAGUCAUCAGCUCGCGUUGAUUACGUCCCUGCCCUUUGUACACACCGCCCGUCGCUACUACCGAUUGAAUGGUUUAGUGAGGACUCCUGAUUGGCGCCGCCGCCCCGGCAACGGAGCAGCGGACUGCCGAAAAGUUGUUCAAACUUGAUCAUUUAGAGGAAGUAAAAGUCGUAACA